UACAGAGGGGGCAAGCGUUGUUCGGAAUUACUGGGCGUAAAGGGCGCGUAGGCGGCCUUCUAAGUCAUGCGUGAAAUCCCCGGGCUCAACCCGGGAACUGCGUCUGAUACUGGAAGGCUUGAAUCCGGGAGAGGGAUGCGGAAUUCCAGGUGUAGCGGUGAAAUGCGUAGAUAUCUGGAGGAACACCGGUGGCGAAGGCGGCAUCCUGGACCGGUAUUGACGCUGAGGCGCGAAAGCCAGGGGAGCAAACGGG
rnacentral:rRNA from 1 species